GCCUUUUUCAAGCAUUUGUUUGGAUAGCCCUUGGUCUUAAAGUGAGACCUAAGGGUAUUUGCUUUCAAUUUGAAGUCCUCAAGAGAGGAACAGUUCCUUCUUAGCCUUAAAUAUUGGCCUAUCGGUAUCCCUCUUUUUAGAGUGGGGGGAUGGUAACUCCCCCAGUUAAGAAAAUUAUUGGUUGCUGUUGGUUUUUGAUAAAGUGUAGUAGA